UACGUAGGGGGCAAGCGUUGUCCGGAUUCAUUGGGCGUAAAGAGCGUGUAGGCGGCCAGGCAGGUCCGCUGUGAAAACUCGAGGCUCAACCUCGAGAUGUCGGUGGAAACCGUCUGGCUAGAGUCCGGAAGAGGAGAGUGGAAUUCCCGGUGUAGCGGUGAAAUGCGCAGAUAUCGGGAAGAACACCCGUGGCGAAGGCGGCUCUCUGGGACGGUACUGACGCUGAGACGCGAAAGCGUGGGGAGCGAACAGG
rnacentral:rRNA from 1 species